GACAGGCGUUGGCCGACUAAGAUCGCCGCGUCCUGCGGCAACGUCGGCAUUAGUACGUCCUGUACG
rnacentral:sRNA from 1 species